ACACUAUUGUUUACUCCCCAUCUUUAGUUGGAACAAAAAUCAGAUCAUUGUGAGAAAGGUGAAUGAUCAUGCUUAAUUCUGAAACACUAAUUAAUUUGUUGAGUCUAAAUCACUAAUCUAAAAUACUUAAGCUUAAACUAGAGUCGCUGAUCCUUACGUAUUCGAUCAUAACUUAUUUUUCAUUCGAAGUAGAAUUAUUGGAGCGUUACAUGAUCGAGUAUACAUGCAUAAGAUAGGUAUGUAGCUAUAUA
rnacentral:lncRNA from 1 species